rnacentral:rRNA from 1 species
CGAGAAAGCCCGCAAGGGUGAGUACAGCGGCGCACGGGUGCGUAACACGUGGGUAAUCUGCCCUGGAGCCCGGAAUAACUCCCCGAAAGGGGUGCUAAUGCCGGAUGAGCCCACGGGGUCUUCGGACCCUGAGGGAAAAGGUGGCCUCUGCAUGCAAGCUAUCACUUCAGGAUGAGCCCGCGGCCCAUCAGCUAGUUGGCGGGGUAACGGCCCACCAAGGCUACGACGGGUAGCUGGUCUGAGAGGACGAUCAGCCACACUGGAACUGAGACACGGUCCAGACUCCUACGGGAGGCAGCAGUGGGGAAUCUUGCGCAAUGGGCGAAAGCCUGACGCAGCAACGCCGCGUGUGUGAUGAAGGUCUUCGGAUCGUAAAGCACUGUCGCGAGGGACG